GACGUAGGAUGCAAGCGUUGUUCGGAUUUAUUGGGCGUAAAGCGUACGUAGGCGGCUUUUUAAGUCUGGUGUUAAAGCUAGGGGCUCAACCCCUGUGUUGCACUGGAAACUGGAAGGCUUGAGUGUGGUAGGGGAAGGUGGAAUUCCGAGUGUAGCGGUGAAAUGCGUAGAUAUUCGGAAGAACACCGGUGGCGAAAGCGACCUUCUGGGCCAUUACUGACGCUGAGGUACGAAAGCUUGGGGAGCGAACGGG
rnacentral:rRNA from 1 species